CCUACGGGGGGCUGCAGUGGGGAAUAUUGCACAAUGGGGGAAACCCUGAUGCAGCGACGCCGCGUGAGCGAUGAAGUAUUUCGGUAUGUAAAGCUCUAUCAGCAGGGAAGAAACUGACGGUACCUGAAGAAGAAGCCCCGGCUAACUACGUGCCAGCAGCCGCGGUAAUACGGAGGGGGCACGCGUUAUCCGGAUUUACUGGGUGUAAAGGGGGCGCAGACGGCGAUGCAAGCCAGGAGUGAAAGCCCGGGGCUCAACCCCGGGACUGCUCUUGGAACUGGGUGGCUGGAGUGCAGGAGGGGCAGGUGGAAUUCCUGGUGUAGCGGUGAAAUGCGUAGAUAUCAGGAGGAACACCGGUGGCGAAGGCGGCCUGCUGGACUGCAACUGACGUUGAGGCCCGAAAGCGUGGGGAGCAAACAGGAUUAGAUACCCCUGUAGUC
rnacentral:rRNA from 1 species